GACAUGGGUUCAGGUCCACAGUUCAGUACCACAACAAUGAAUAAAAAUUAGAAAUGGAAAAGGAAAGCCCAGGAUCUGGCACCUUACUUAGCAGUGGCUCAAGAAGAGUGGCAACACCUUGAUGUGUCUGGCUUUCUUUAACUGUCAAGCACUCAUGGGAUGACACAUCAGUGUAAGUGUUGAAAAUGGUCCGGGCACGUGUACCACAAGGCGUGAGCUUUUGUCACACCUGGGAUCAGAGCAAUGUCACCCCUGGUGGCAGAGAGAAGCCCUUGUUCAAUGCCCAUCACCCAGCUGGCUCUAGAGGGCAUCAGGAAGUGUCCACUGUCCCUUCCCUCCCACAGCCUGGCUCCAUGCCGUCCACACCUCAACUCGCAGGACUUCUCACUCUGCCCCAGGGGCUGCCAUGCCUGGGACCUGAAGAGUGAGCACCCCUGAGAACCAGCUCUUCUUUUAAAAGGGAGGUUUGGGGGCUGGGGUUGUAGCUCAGUAGUAGAGCACUUGCCUCGCAUGCUUAAGGCCCUGGGUUCU
rnacentral:lncRNA from 1 species